GUUUAUCAAAACCUCUUCGUAAAGGUCUAUAUAGUAAAAUUAACUCUGUUGUAAAUUCAAUACAUAAAUAAAUUUGUAAUUAGGAUUCAUGAAAAAUAUAUUUUUUGAUAAAAUAUAUUUUCUGCACUUUUGAUGAACCUUUUCGUCCUGUAACACAGUUUCCCAAUUUUUUUCCAAACACACCCGAAGUGCUUCAAUCGUUAAUUUAGAUGUCACUGAGAUUGCAGGAUAAAAUAGAAUGACAUUGAAGUCUGCGAUAGAAAUCAGAAAUCUUUGAUCAAGGAAAAAAAAUCUGAUGGCCUUUUGAACUGCAAACAUGUCUGAAGACAGCUCCUGAGAAUCAGAUCAGAUCAGGAUGUGUUCCUGACAUCGGACAGACAAGAGAUAAAACAACAGGUCAUCUGUCAGUACAUUUUAUAUGUUUGUUGGGAAAGUUGCAAAAGAAAUGGCUUAGGAAUGCGUGUUUUCCAUAUGUGAAUCACUUCACUUUUUAAUGAGUUGAAUGUAACCGCGAAAGAGGUCAAGAAUGUGAAAAUGAAUGUGUACUGAGUUGAUUAGCUAGUUGAAUGAACCGCCAACAGAAGGAAGCACUUGAAGAAAACAACCUUAAAAAGCCGAUUCAGUACGCAGGAAAUCACAUAAUAAGCUACAUCACCGUAUACAAAAUUAGCUGCUAUAUGGCGUGAGAUUCCAGCUUUCUGAUUGGAUACUUGAAGACUUCAAGGAGGAAAAACUUAGAGCUAGGGCUGUAUAAACUUGUUCAGUUGCACAAUUGUUAACUGUUUUGACUUGAGUUUAAAUGAAUAUGUGGUAAACUUAAUGUGGUUACGAUAGGCAGAAUGUAAUAGAUACGGUGGAGGUGUUAAUGUUGGUAAUCAUGCAUGAAAUUAAAAGACAUAAAGAUUACUAUCAGUAGAAAAAUAACGAAAGAUAUGGUAGAGUCAGAUU